rnacentral:pre_miRNA from 1 species
UAUGUACUCCCUUCGUUCUGAAUUACUUGUCAUAGGUAUGGAUGUAUCUAGAUAUAUUUUAGUUUUAGUUAUAUCUAUUUUUGCGACGAGUAAUUUGGAACGGAAGGAGUACUAU